rnacentral:rRNA from 1 species
UCAUAUGCUUGUCUCAAAGAUUAAGCCAUGCAUGUCUAAGAAUAAACCCCAGAACGGUGAAUCUGCGAAUGGCUCAUUAAAUCAGUUAUUGUUUAUUUGAUGGUACCUUUUGCUACUUGGAUAACCGUAGUAAUUCUAGAGCUAAUACAUGCGCCAAGCCCCGACUACGCAUUCGUGCGUGGAAGGGGUGCAUUUAUUAGAUUCAAACCAUCCUUUGUUUAGAUGGCGAGUCAUAAUAACUGAGCGAAUCGAAUAUCGUGCCUCGCGCACGUCGAUGCUUCAUUCAAAUUUCUGCCCUAUCAGCUUUCGAUGGUAGGAUCUUGGCCUACCAUGGCUAUAACGGGUAACGGGGAAUUAGGGUUCGAUUCCGGAGAGGGCGCAUGAGAAACGGCGACCACAUCCAAGGAUGGCAGCAGGCGCGCAAAUUACCCAAUCCCGACACGGGGAGGUAGUGACCAAAAAUAACAAUGCUGGACUAUUACUAGUCCGGCAAUUGGAAUGAGAGUAAUUUAAACCCAUUCUCGAGGAGCCAUUGGAGGGCAAGUCUGGUGCCAGCAGCCGCGGUAAUUCCAGCUCCAAUAGCGUAUAUUAAAGUUGUUGCAGUUAAAAAGCUCGUAGUCUGACUUUUGGGUUGUGGGGUUUUAAUUGGCCGCGCGCUGCCCCGUCAAACGGGUGGCGUUGUUUCGGCCGACCCGCAGCCGCGCCUUGGAAGUCAAACUCCAGGCGUAACUUUCGGAGGCCCAUGGCUCACGCCAUGGAAUUCCGGUGGUUUACUUUGAGAAAAAUAGAGUGUUCAAAGCAGGCGUUAAUUUUUUGCCUUUGAAUACAUUAGCAUGGGAUAGUGGAAUAGGACGUUGGUUCUAUUUUGGUGGUGUUAAGCACCGACGUAAUGAUUAAUAGGGACAGUCGGGGACAUUCAUAUUCCAUGGCUAGAGGUGAAAUUCUUGGAUUCAUGGAAGAUGAACUACUGCGAAAGCAUUUGUCAAGGAUGUUUUCAUUGAUCAAGAACGAAAGUUAGGGGAGCAAAGACGAUCAGAUACCGUCGUAGUCUUAACCAUAAACGAUGCCGACUAGGGAUCGGCGGGAGUUAGUAUGUCUUGGAAACAGGACUUUUGAUGACCCCGUCGGCACCUCAUGGGAAACCAAAGUCUUUGGGUUCCGGGGGGAGUAUGGUCGCAAGGCUGAAACUUAAAGGAAUUGACGGAAGGGCACCACCAGGAGUGGAGCCUGCGGCUUAAUUUGACUCAACACGGGAAGACUCACCAGGUCCAGACAUAGUAAGGACUGACAGAUUGAGAGCUCUUUCUUGAUUCUAUGAAAGGUGGCGCAUGGCCGUUCUUAGUUGGUGGAGUGAUUUGUCUGAUUAAUUUCGAUAACGAACGAGACCUUAACCUGCUAACUAGUUGUGUCUACUUUCGGGUAGGCAUUCUGCGGGGUCAAACCCGCAAACUUCUUAGAGGGACAAUCUGUUUCCAGCAGAAGGAAGUGUGAGGCAAUAACAGGUCUGUGAUGCCCUUAGAUGUCCUGGGCUGCACGCGCGCUACACUGACUGGCUCAACGAGUUUUUUCGGGUCGUGCCCUCGGGUGCGUCCCGUGCCACCUUGGCAGAGAUGUCCGGGUAAUCUUUUGAAAGCCAGUCGUGAUGGGGAUAGAUGAUUGUAAUUAUUCGUCUUGAACGAGGAAAUCCUAGUAAGUGUGA